UUUUAAUGAUGACUUAAACAUCUUGGUCUGUGUUACUGAAAUAAUAUUGAGAUGACAAAAAAUAUCUGAAAAA